CCUUAAUCUGUGGUGACCUCAGGGAGGUGACACUCCUAGCCAGAACAUUUCACUGAGUGAUAUAAAAUGACUCAGAAAGGCAGUGGCUGAACUUCAGUUGGACCUUAGUGGCAGGAAGUGCGGCUCGGUGGUGGCUCAAGGGAGAUGCAAAGUGACCCUCACGCUCCCAGUACCUUCCAUGUCCUGAUGACAUUCCUUCAGAGCAUGAGCCAAAGUGAACCCUUACUUCCUUGAGCUGCUAAGUAUUACAUCACGGCAAAGAGAAAUAUAACUCACAGAACUCCAUGCUCGCUAGACACGGUGGUGGGAAGAUACUUGUCAUUGGACUUAAUGCCACCUAGCAAACCAAGAUGAUUUUGACCGGGAAGACUUAAUUGCAUCUCUGAAGACCACUUCCACUCCUACUAAGGUUACUUAAUAAGUGCUGAGUCUCGCACAGAAAUUCAACCUGCAUUCAACCCACCAUAGGGGACGCAAGACAGGAUUUCUCCAUAUAGCUCUGGAUGUCCUGGAACUCACUCUGUAAACUAAGCUGGCCUCAAACUCACAGUGUCUAUGAGUGCUGAGAUUCAAGGCAUGCACCACCACUGCCUGGACCAGGAAGUUUAUAUGUAAACACAAGGGGUAAUGGACCCCUGACCUGCUCAGGGCUUUCAACCCAGUCAAUCCACAGAGGGAUUAACCCCAAAUACCGACUGGAUCUCGGAG
ensembl:lncRNA